AUUGAACGCUGGCGGCAUGCCUUACACAUGCAAGUCGAACGGUAACGGGCCUUCGGGUGCCGACGAGUGGCGAACGGGUGAGUAAUACAUCGGAACGUGCCCGAUCGUGGGGGAUAACGAGGCGAAAGCUUUGCUAAUACCGCAUACGAUCUACGGAUGAAAGCCGGGGACCGCAAGGCCUUGCGCGGACGGAGCGGCCGAUGGCGGAUUAGGUAGUUGGUGGGAUAAAAGCUUACCAAGCCGACGAUCUGUAGCUGGUCUGAGAGGAUGAUCAGCCACACUGGGACUGAGACACGGCCCAGACUACUACGGGAGGCAGCAGUGGGGAAUUUUGGACAAUGGGCGCAAGCAUGAUCCAGCCAUGCCGCGUGCAGGAUGAAGGCCUUCGGGUUGUAAACUGCUUUUGUACGGAACGAAAAGCCUUCUUUUAAUACAGGAGGGUCAUGACGGUACCGUAAGAAUAAGCACCGGCUAACUACGUG
rnacentral:rRNA from 1 species